GCCUUACAUGCAACACAUUGGUCUCAUAAGUGUAAAGAAUUUUUAUAAGUAGUGUGUUCAUUAAUGACAAUCAUUUUUUUAAUACAUCAGUAACCAUCAGUGUUAGAUUUUCAAGUAAAAAUUAGCUAUCUGAAACAGUUCAAAAAUAAAUUCUUGCCUGGGUGCUGACCACAAGGCACAUAUAUAACAAAAACAGCAUGUACUCACACAUGUUAACAAAUGUGGGGUUAAUGGUAUUGAGUGUUAUAAUAACAUGUGGAUUGAUG